UCCCAUCAUCAUCAUAUAGAAACUGAAACAACCAUUGGCGUAAUGUGAACUAGUCCUCUUCCUUUCUGAUAUAUAUCCAAGGUUUUGAAAUACAGUUUUCCUCCCAAUAUAUAGUAAUAUUUAUGUGGUUUGGAGUAAUUAUUAAGAUUAUGGCACAAACUGUGAAAGCUAACAUCACACCAAGUUACCACUUACUUUAUUAAUGUUAAUCUUCUCCAUCUUUUUUUUUUCUUCAAUGCCCCACACCUCUUGUUUCUAUGCAAAACCUGCGUAUGUUUCUCUGUACUCUCACUGCACGUUCUGUUUUUGUCUGCAGUGUCACUGUCCCUGUCUUCUUCAGCCACACCAAGAGUCCCUCUCUUGCACACCAAUCUUUGUUUGAGACCCUUUUUCUCUCUCUCUUUCUAACCAGCAUUGGAGCCUUGAAAGCAUGGAACUUUCCUUAACCUGUUCCAUAACUUGAAACUUCUAGAAUGAUGCAUUAAUUAAAGGGGUUGCAAGCAAACGGCACCUAAUCCAUUUCUCAAUUUUUUUAUAUACCCUCCAAC
rnacentral:lncRNA from 1 species